CCUACGGGGCGCAGCAGUGAGGAAUAUUGGUCAAUUGACGAGAGUCUGAACCAGCCAAGUAGCGUGAAGGAUGACUGCCCUAUGGGUUGUAAACUUCUUUUAUAUGGGAAUAAAAUGUUCCACGUGUGGGAUUUUGUAUGUACCAUAUGAAUAAGGAUCGGCUAACUCCGUUCCAGCAGCCGCGGUAAUACGGAGGAUCCGAGCGUUAUCCGGAUUUAUUGGGUUUAAAGGGAGCGUAGGUGGAUUGUUAAGUCAGUUGUGAAAGUUUGCGGCUCAACCGUAAAAUUGCAGUUGAAACUGGCAGUCUUGAGUACAGUAGAGGUGGGCGGAAUUCGUGGUGUAGCGGUGAAAUGCUUAGAUAUCACGAAGAACUCCGAUUGCGAAGGCAGUUCACUGGACUGCAACUGACACUGAGGCUCGAAAGUGUGGGUAUCAAACAGGAUGAGAUACCCGAGUAGUC
rnacentral:rRNA from 1 species